rnacentral:rRNA from 1 species
GUAGGGGGCAAGCGUUAUCCGGAUUUACUGGGUGUAAAGGGAGCGUAGACGGUUUUGCAAGUCUGAAGUGAAAGCCCGGGGCUUAACCCCGGGACUGCUUUGGAAACUGUAGGACUAGAGUGCAGGAGAGGUAAGUGGAAUUCCUAGUGUAGCGGUGAAAUGCGUAGAUAUUAGGAGGAACACCAGUGGCGAAGGCGGCUUACUGGACUGUAACUGACGUUGAGGCUCGAAAGCGUGGGGAGCAACCAGGAUUAGAUACCCUGGUAGUCCACGCCGUAAACGAUGAUUACUAGGUGUUGGUGGGUAUGACCCAUCGGUGCCGCAGCAAACGCAAUAAGUACUCCGCCUGAGUAGUACGUUCGCAAGAAUG